rnacentral:misc_RNA from 1 species
GCUGUCUUGUACUGUAAUGUCAGUCAGUCAGUCAUGUCAGUAUUGGCAUUGUCAUACAUUUCGCACAAUAGGCUGCACGAGUGCUGGCUCCGAGAGAGUUUAAGUGUUUUAAGUAAAGAACAUCACAGUAAUGAUGUUGUUGUAGCGUGUUGUCGUGCUGGUACGCUUCCGCCGCGGCCAUGGGCUACGACAUCGGCUGGAUCAUCCCGCGGCUCCGGAACCCCGGGAGACUGUGGUACUGCGCGAGUUCUAUCACAGUCGCCGUCGUCGGAUUAUUUAGUAAAAUUAUCAUUGAGUUCCUGAACAAGACGACGGUGUACAACCGCGAGACGCUGGCGGCGGCGGUGCGGCGGCCGCGCGGGCAGCCGCUGCUCACCGUCUCCAACCACCACUCGUGCUUCGACGACCCCGGCCUCUGGGGCGUGCUGGAUGUGCGGUCGCUGACGAGCCGCUCGCGCAUGCGCUGGUCGCUGGCGGCGCACGACAUCUGCUUCACGAACGCGCUGCACUCGUGCUUCUUCGCGCUCGGCAAGUGCGUGCCCGUGGUGCGCGGCGCCGGCGUGCACCAGCCCGCCAUGGACUUCUGCGUGGAGCGGCUGGCGCGCGGCGAGUGGGUGCACAUCUUCCCCGAGGGCCGCGUCAACGUCAACAAGGAGCACAUCCGCUUCAAGUGGGGCGUGGGCCGGCUCGUGGCCGAGUGCCCCGCGCCGCCGCUCAUCGUGCCCGUGUGGCACGAGGGGCUGGACGCCGUGCUGCCCAACCAGGAGCCCUACCUGCUCAAGUUCCGCAAGCACGUGUUCCUCAACGUGGGCGAGCCCAUCCAGAUACACCAGCUGCUAGACAAGCUGCGGCGCGCGAACGCCAGCGAGGAGGAGACGCGCGCCGCCAUCACCGACACCAUCCAGCGCGAGCUGCUGCGCCUGCGCGACGCCACGCACGCGCUCAUCCGCCGCGCCGCGCCCAAGCGCGCCGCCGACCUGCUGGCGCCGCCGCCGCCGCGCCAGGACCCCGAGCCCGAGCUCUAGCGCCGCCAGUAUUACCCAGCCUAGAGCUGGAGCCCGCCUCUACUCCUUACUUAUUCUAUUCUAAGUUUAUCACGUGGGAAUGUUUAUCGAUAAGGUUAAUAUGUCGUGUGCGGUGAGUACGUGUGUGUGCGUGUUGCGGAGUCGCGUCUUGUCGACGGCGCCGGCUUCGCCCACUGUUGAUGUCGCAGGAGCUUCUACGUAUUUUGUAUCUACUCACUAAUUUUUUAUAACGAAUUUUUUGAAUAUUUUUUUACACCAGUUUACCUAAUCUAUAUCAUUUAUAUCCCUUAGGAUAGCGACUAAUAUCGAGUGUCUCCUGUUAUACUGCGGCGCACCUCGCGGAUAUCAUACAUGUGAUGAGAGAUUUAAUUCAGCGGCUACCGCCAUCUCAACAACCAAAGACUGUUGCACACAUAAUGUACACAAUAUUUUAUAUCCAAAAUAUUUUUAAACAUGUUUAUUAAAAAUAAUCUUUUAAAUGAAUUAUAUUUUUCACAUAAAAGUAAAUAUUAAGGUAUAAUUUGGUGGCACACGUCGCAUAUUCUUAAGCCGUCCAUGCAUUGCGAGUCACGGGCCGAGACCGCGCACAGCGAAUGCCUCGCACCCUGGAUACACUUCAUGUAUACUCGUGACGAGGCAUAUGCUACGUAUGGCGAUGCCUCGACCCGACCAUAAUGUUGCUAUCAUUUUUCUAUAGACAGGCACGCCUCAAGCCGAGGCAUUCAUUGUGCGCCGUCCAUGGCGCAUGCCUUGCAAUGUCUGGAUCCACCUUUAGGUGUUCAGUUGUGGACUGCACCCUGUGUCACACACCAUUGACAUCGGCCGUGUCAACUAUUUAUUGCGAAAAUAUUAUAUUAAUACGUACACUGCAACGAUAAUAGUACGAUGUCAAACUAAAAAUGUUCAAUUUUUUAUGGCAAAAAUAAUUAUAGUACUUAAGUAGCUACGCGUUAACUCUGCAAAAAGAAAUGUUACGUAAGGAGGGUGCAGUUGUGCUGUUGCUGACACAACUGAACAUGCGAACGGUGUGAAAAGUAAUCAGAGCAGAAUAGUAAUGAAGCGUUACCGCGGCAGUGGAGGCGCGUGGCUCGCUCUGCUCAAGCCGAGAGCGAGCUGUGACGACGCGCGCCUCUGUCCGAGACGCCAGUCUUCCGAUCGCUAAUUAUUAUUUAUUGUUAUUUUGUAAAUAAUAGUUAUGUUUGAGGCGAGUGCGGUGCACUUGCGCCAGUUUGUACAGUCAGCCGCCAUGUUGUAUAUAAGUUUACCUAGAUGCUAUAGUGUUGUUGUGUUAAGCCAUAACAUAAUCAUGUUCUGUUGUCCAAAUAAGUGUGAUGUGCUUUUUGAGGAAAUAAUUUUUCCAAAUAAAUCGAUGGACAUAAA